UACGAAGGGGGCUAGCGUUGUUCGGAUUUACUGGGCGUAAAGCGCACGUAGGCGGAUUGGUCAGUUAGAGGUGAAAUCCCGAAGCUCAACUUCGGAACUGCCUUUAAUACUGCCAAUCUAGAGUCCGGAAGAGGUGAGUGGAACUCCUAGUGUAGAGGUGGAAUUCGUAGAUAUUAGGAAGAACACCAGUGGCGAAGGCGGCUCACUGGUCCGGUACUGACGCUGAGACGCGAAAGCGUGGGGAGCAAACAGG
rnacentral:rRNA from 1 species